rnacentral:rRNA from 1 species
GAUGAACGCUGGCGGCGUGCCUAAUACAUGCAAGUCGAGCGAACAGACGAGGAGCUUGCUCCUCUGACGUUAGCGGCGGACGGGUGAGUAACACGUGGAUAACCUACCUAUAAGACUGGGAUAACUUCGGGAAACCGGAGCUAAUACCGGAUAAUAUAUUGAACCGCAUGGUUCAAUAGUGAAAGACGGUUUUGCUGUCACUUAUAGAUGGAUCCGCGCCGCAUUAGCUAGUUGGUAAGGUAACGGCUUACCAAGGCGACGAUGCGUAGCCGACCUGAGAGGGUGAUCGGCCACACUGGAACUGAGACACGGUCCAGACUCCUACGGGAGGCAGAAGUAGGGAAUCUUCCGCAAUGGGCGAAAGCCUGACGGAGCAACGCCGCGUGAGUGAUGAAGGUCUUCGGAUCGUAAAACUCUGUUAUUAGGGAAGAACAAAUGUGUAAGUAACUAUGCACGUCUUGACGGUACCUAAUCAGAAAGCCACGGCGAACUACG